rnacentral:rRNA from 1 species
CACGUAGGGGGCGAGCGUUAUCCGGAUUCAUUGGGCGUAAAGCGCGCGCAGGCGGCCGCCUAAGCGGGACCUCUAAUCCUGGGGCUCAACCUCAGGCCGGGUCCCGAACUGGGCGGCUCGGGUGCGGUAGGGGUAGGCGGAAUUCCCGGUGUAGCGGUGGAAUGCGCAGAUAUCGGGAAGAACACCGACGGCGAAGGCAGCCUACUGGGCCGCCACCGACGCUGAGGCGCGAAAGCUAGGGGAGCGAACAGG